GUUCUCUAGGAUUAAUGGGAAAAACAUGAACGUCACAAUGAAUUUCUCCUAAAAUGUUGAUUUACAAUUUACUUUCUCAAGAUUCAUUUUGAAUUAUAGAAAUCAUCUUCUACUGUAACCUUCUACAGAAGGAUUUCAAAAUGAAUGUACUAUCUGUGGGACAGGGACAGGCUGAGCACCCGCUUCACUAAGUACCUGCUUCACAUCACCUUUCACAUUUUCUAGAAAAACAGCCGUUGUAGAAUCAACAUGCUCCCUUCAACAAAAAUGGAAACAAGCGAAGACCCUAAGAAUGCCACCGCUGCCAGCAGUUAAUGAUGCUGGGGCUAUGCACGCAAGCUUCAGCAAAGAAAGUUUUCAAGACAGUGUGUGCCUCACUAGCCAGAAAUCAGGAAAUUUCGUCUCAGUUGCUCCUUAAAUCAGCGCAACCCUUCCGAAUGAACAUGAAUUGAAACAUGCAUUGGCUUUUCAACUUAAUUGAGUAAUUACUACAUGUGAAUCACUAUACGGAGCAGGAGAAGGAACAUGAGAGAGGGAAGGAGACAAAUAAGAUGUGGUCCCUGCUGUCCAUAGGUUUAUUCGUUUCAAUGAACAUUUUUUUGUGUGUCUUCUGUUCUUACUAAGUGUGUCUCUAAGACAGGAAACAAAUGGAAGAGUAUAUUUCUCUGAGUAUUUUAAGUUCCUUUAAUAAAAAACAAAACAAAACUUCUAAUGUGAACAAUUCAGGACAUCUUAAUUCCAUUUAAUUUUGAACCUUAAUUCCAUUUCUUUUUGGACCUUAAUUCCAUUUCUUUUUGGACUUCUGAUAGGUAGGAUCCUUUUUGUUGAUUUCAAAAAUGUUCUGUAGACUUUAGAGAUAUCAACACAUUAUAGUUGGAGUUAACUUGAAUUAAAUUCCUUUUUCCCUGUAGGUGUAGAGUGUCUGUUGGAAAACUAUAUUAUGUUUGUACAUCGGUGGGGAGUGGGGUGACGGAAUCACAUCUGUUUCAAUAGGCCUCUACCUUGAACGCCUAGGGGCCUGCCGUCCUGAGUGAAUUAUUAGCAUGGAGGAGGGGAAGGUUUGGGUCAAGCUUGGGGUCCUUACUCAUGGACCCAAGACAGGGCAGGACAGGAGCCAAACAGACCUGGAAAAUGGCCGUGUGUGAAAAUUUGGCUAUUUCAGUAUUCCUGGUGUUGUCCUCUAUGUUCUAUAAGUUGAGUGACUAUAUACUUUUUCCAAAAAAUUAGUUCUGAUCUGGGAGUAAGUCAUGAUUUUUCCAGUGUUGAGACACUAAUAUGAUUGUUGACACUAGACAUUUUAUGUUGAGUCUGUGACACAUUUUGUUAUGUAUGCGCCAACCAUCGACAUGUCUUUGUCUUGAGAGUGUCCAUCUGAAUUGAAAAUGUGCCAGCGUUUUAACAUUAUCAACAGACUUCUUAAUUAAGCUGCCAAUGCACACUGCCAAUAGUACUGUGUGUCCUCUGAGAAAUGAAUCGUGUAAGUGCUGUUUCUCUCUUGUUGAAUAAAUAAUGUUACUCCAUAUAAAA